GCUGAAUUAAAGCAAAUGUUGUAGCUUUGGGUAAUUUGUUAAAGCUUUAGUGAGACGUAAAAUCAUAUUUUUUGUUUCUUGUAUUAUCAAUACCUUACAAAAAAUGUCGGUUAAUAGAACGACUACUGUAGAGCGAACCAACGAAACAUCUUCUGAAUACAGUUUGUAUAAAAUCCACCAAUGCCAUUACAUAUUAUAGCUACGUGACGCGUAAUUAAACACAGGUUGUAACUUUGGUUCAUUUGAAAAAGCUUGAGUGAGACGUGAAAUAAAACUGUGUAUUAGUAUCAAAACAUUAGGUACGAUGUCAAUAUUUAGGACGACGAGAACGAACAUACAAAUCAACUUCCGCAUAAAG
rnacentral:lncRNA from 1 species